rnacentral:rRNA from 1 species
AUUGAACGCUGGCGGCAGGCCUAACACAUGCAAGUCGAACGAGUGGCGGACGGGUGAGUAAUGUCUGGGAAAAUGCCUGAUGGAGGGGGAUAACAACUGGAAACGGUAGCUAAUACCGCAAACCAUCGGACGUGCCCAGAUGGGAUUAGCUAGUAGGUGGGGUAAAGGCUCACCUAGGCGACGAUCACUAGCUGGUCUGAGAGGAUGACCAGUCACACUGGAACUGAGACGCGGUCCAGACUCCUACGGAUGGCGGCAGUGGGGAAUAUUGCACAAUGGGCGCAAGCCUGAUGCAGCCAUGCCGCGUGUAUGAAGAUGGCCUUCGGUUUGUAAAGUACUUUCAGCGGGGAGGCGUUACCCGCAGAAGAAGCACCGGCUAACUCCGUGCCAGCAGCCGCGGUAAUAC